ACUCACUCCCUCUAUUUGUAGCACAAGAGGCUUCUUUGGUAGUCGUGCCUCUCGAGGCUGUUCCUCUCCUCUCACGGAUCCUCCCUCCCCGCCGCUCAACGCCGACGAUCUGUCCACCGUCGCCGUCUCUCCGUAAUCCUUCGCGAGAUGUGAUAUAUACUGUGGGAUGGUGAAGCACAUAGUUAUUAUAGUUGCGGGGUGGCAAUCUUAAUCGUGGAAGGAGAUAGAUGUUCCGUAAGAACGACUCGGCCCUAUCCUGCUUCUAUCUCUACCUGCUCUGGCUAUUCUUCCUGAAAUAGCAAGGAAUCCAAACCCUAAGCUUGCGAGAGUGUGCGAAUACGGAUCUGAUCGUGAAAGGUUGUCUUUCUCAAAAUGUUCGACCUCAACCUGGCGUCUUCCGGCGAGUCGACGGCUCUCGAAGAUAAGCUUGUCCCCGAGAGUUCUGGCGCCAGGCAGAUGGACGACUCCGGGAUUACGAAUUCGUCUGUCCUCAACACUGAGGGUUCUGUGGACGUGGCCGAUGAAGAUUCUUGCUCGACCCUUCCUGCGAUGGCCUUCAAAUUCGGAAUCUUGAAAUGCUCUACCUCGGCAGAGGGAGAGAAUGAAGCCGAAGAGGGGAUUGGAGGGCAUGCGAGUGGUGUCCUGGAACAACCUGGACUCAUCACCAGGCAGCUCUUUCCAUCGGCAACGAUGCUGAUUCCGGAUGGUUUCCAACUGCCGGUGGUGGCUUCGUCCCCGUCUUCAUCGAGGCUGCCUUGGAUGAAUCUUACGUUUUGCCAAACUGAUACACAAUCAGAAUUGAGAAUUCUGCAGCAACAGCAGCAAAAGCAGGUGAAAAAGAGUCGCAGGGGGCCACGGUCCCGCAGCUCUCAGUACCGGGGAGUUACGUUCUACCGCAGGACAGGAAGAUGGGAGUCUCACAUCUGGGAUUGCGGGAAGCAAGUGUAUUUGGGAGGUUUUGACACUGCUCAUGCUGCCGCAAGGGCAUAUGACCGAGCUGCAAUCAAGUUUCGUGGAGUGGAUGCUGAUAUCAAUUUCAAUCUCAGCGACUAUGAGGAAGAUCUGAAACAGAUGAGGAAUCUAUCAAAAGAAGAAUUUGUGCAUAUACUUCGUCGCCAGAGUACUGGUUUUUCAAGAGGAAGCUCAAAAUACAGAGGAGUGACCCUUCACAAGUGUGGUCGCUGGGAAGCCCGCAUGGGGCAGUUCCUUGGCAAGAAGUACAUAUAUCUUGGGCUAUUCGACAGCGAAAUAGAAGCUGCAAGGGCUUAUGACAAGGCAGCAAUAAAGUAUAAUGGAAGGGAUGCUGUUACCAAUUUUGAGCCAAGUACCUAUGAAGGAGAACUACUUUUUGAGGGUGAUACUGAAGGUCAUGAUGUGGAUCUGAGUUUGAGGAUUUCUCAAUCUGUCGUCCAAGGUCCAAAGGGAUAUCAAACUUCAUCAAAUAGCCAGUUUGAAGCUUCUGAUUGCAACAUAGCAAAGGAGAACGAGAGUGAGAAGAGGACCGCGGUUGGCUUGCAAGCUCUCCCAAUCUGGAACUGGCCGACAAAUGGACAUUGUCCAUUUCCACUGUUCUCUUCUGCAGCAUCAUCAGGAUUCUCACCUACCACAGUGACAGCUGCUCUUCCUCCCCUGAAGCCACCACCUCCAACAACCCAUCAUGUUCAUUUCUCUCCCAGAGCUACAUCAAAUUACCGUUUCAUGAAUCCAAAUCAGUAACGCUCCAACGAGGUGCCAAAAUGUUACACACAUGAACCAUCUUUAGGGCAGGGCAGGUCCGAGGGGGGGGGUAGCCAGUCGCAAAGAAGUAAUACUUGGUGAACCAUCGUGUGGUCUACCCCUGUAUCAUUUUAUCGUGUUCUUCAGGUUCUUUCCUCUUCACCGCGGAGCUAGAACAGUCGAACUUUAUUCUGGGCUUUCGGUCAUCCCCUCGUCUACAUGUACUGUUCAUGAUCUGCACUACCCAAUCACCCGGUCUCUCAUUUGCUUCCGUGCGUGACUCUUGAGAAUGAUGCGAUAAGGAGAAGACGGGUAGUAGUUGACUUGCUGUCUCAAUGAAGGUAGGCUUGGCGACGCAUGAAUCACGUGUACGCUUCUCCACCAAGUCUUAUUUGCCCAUCAAAAUGCUACGACUUUUGACUUCAAAUUUUCGAGCCUGGAAUGAUUCAGGUCGCGAGUCCCAAGUUUUCUGAUAAUAUCUCCUAUCCAUACAACAGAGUGCAAACGUCUAACGAGUCUAAAUUAAGAUCAUAUGUUAUUAUUGUCAGAGUGAAAGAAGGACCUCAGUCUGACCAGACCACGCUUAUAAAUAUAUAUAUAUAUAUUUUUGAAUGAUAUUAAACAAUAUUGUAGUUGUUAUCGUUAAUUAUUUCAGAUUGACCACUUCUCAGAUCAGCGUAUACAAAAACAAUUUCCAUAGACCGUCUCGUGGCAAGAGCCGAUCUUGUUGGUCUCUUACCACUCUUCAUCUAUAGUUAGGCAGUCUUGGGGGCGAAGGCCGAAACCGUGGGCGAUAGGCUUUUACGUAUACAAUAUGUCGCCAGGUUUCCUUCUCUGUAACCUCAGCUGCAGCUGCAGAGGAUAGAUUGCAUCAUCUUCUUUCAAGGAAUCAGAAGGUUGUCGUCGCAUUCACACAUGAAUUCGCUUCUGUCACCUUCUUAGCCAUCGUCUUCUUCAUAACCCUCAGUUUCCUCCUCCUCCUUUCCCAGUUGGAAGCAAGCAAAGAGUGAGUAUAUAUUCUCAGAAACCAGAAUGAUGGACAGCGGCGGAAGAGCAAAAGACACAGUAGCAGAGCAGCUGAGCUGACUCUAUGCCAGUGACAGAGACCUAAUUUACAGAGCUCCACUCAUCUAACGCAAACACUCAUCUUGGUUUAUUCCUAUAUUACAGAGCAGGAGGAAGCAGCUACGGGAAUCGAAGGAGCUCCAAUCUGAUGGAAGGAACAGAUGCCAAGCAACCAGACAAGUAUUAGCCAGAUGCACGAGGACGCGUCGAUGUCGCAGCUCCGCCUUCCCGAUCACCGCUCCCAGAUAUGCUCCCCUUCCAGGUGGAGUAGAUGGCGGAGGUCAUGGAAGACCAUGAAUCCUUCAGUUCCGUAGCGAUCUGCUUCUUGAUGCUGCCCCUUGGUGGUGGGCACAAGUUCCCUCUUCCCCUCGUCUCCUGCUUGCCGGCGUCUUGGUGGCUCUUCAUCUCUUCCGUAACAGAGAGAGAGAGAGAGAGAGAGAGAGAGUUGUCGCUGGAACGACUAGGCAACCGGACAUAUAGAGGUGUGGCAGAGUAGCCGACACACGUCCAUGAAAACGUGUCAGUAUUAGGAAAAAUAUUAUUAAAAAAAUAAAUUAUGAUAAAAUUAUCAACAUUC